AAAUUGAAGAGUUUGAUCAUGGCUCAGAUUGAACGCUGGCGGCAGGCCUAACACAUGCAAGUCGAGCGGUAGCACAGAGAGCUUGCUCUCGGGUGACGAGCGGCGGACGGGUGAGUAAUGUCUGGGAAACUGCCUGAUGGAGGGGGAUAACUACUGGAAACGGUAGCUAAUACCGCAUAACGUCGCAAGACCAAAGUGGGGGACCUUCGGGCCUCAUGCCAUCAGAUGUGCCCAGAUGGGAUUAGCUGGUAGGUGGGGUAACGGCUCACCUAGGCGACGAUCCCUAGCUGGUCUGAGAGGAUGACCAGCCACACUGGAACUGAGACACGGUCCAGACUCCUACGGGAGGCAGCAGUGGGGAAUAUUGCACAAUGGGCGCAAGCCUGAUGCAGCCAUGCCGCGUGUGUGAAGAAGGCCUUCGGGUUGUAAAGCACUUUCAGCGGGGAGGAAGGCGAUAAGGUUAAUAACCUUGUCGAUUGACGUUACCCGCAGAAGAAGCACCGGCUAACUCCGUGCCAGCAGCCGCGGUAAUACGGAGGGUGCAAGCGUUAAUCGGAAUUACUGGGCGUAAAGCGCACGCAGGCGGUCUGUCAAGUCGGAUGUGAAAUCCCCGGGCUCAACCUGGGAACUGCAUUCGAAACUGGCAGGCUAGAGUCUUGUAGAGGGGGGUAGAAUUCCGGUGUAGCGGUGAAAUGCGUAGAGAUCUGGAGGAAUACCGGUGGCGAAGGCGGCCCCUGGACAAAGACUGACGCUCAGGUGCGAAAGCGUGGGGAGCAAACAGGAUUAGAUACCCUGGUAGUCCACGCUGUAAACGAUGUCGAUUUGGAGGUUGUGCCCUUGAGGCGUGGCUUCCGGAGCUAACGCGUUAAAUCGACCGCCUGGGGAGUACGGCCGCAAGGUUAAAACUCAAAUGAAUUGACGGGGGCCCGCACAAGCGGUGGAGCAUGUGGUUUAAUUCGAUGCAACGCGAAGAACCUUACCUGGUCUUGACAUCCACAGAACUUUCCAGAGAUGGAUUGGUGCCUUCGGGAACUGUGAGACAGGUGCUGCAUGGCUGUCGUCAGCUCGUGUUGUGAAAUGUUGGGUUAAGUCCCGCAACGAGCGCAACCCUUAUCCUUUGUUGCCAGCGGUUAGGCCGGGAACUCAAAGCGAGACUGCCAGUGAUAAACUGGAGGAAGGUGGGGAUGACGUCAAGUCAUCAUGGCCCUUACGACCAGGGCUACACACGUGCUACAAUGGCAUAUACAAAGAGAAGCGACCUCGCGAGAGCAAGCGGACCUCAUAAAGUAUGUCGUAGUCCGGAUUGAGUCUGCAACUCGACUCCAUGAAGUCGGAAUCGCUAGUAAUCGUAGAUCAGAAUGCUACGGUGAAUACGUUCCCGGGCCUUGUACACACCGCCCGUCACACCAUGGGAGUGGGUUGCAAAAGAAGUAGGUAGCUUAACCUUCGGGAGGGCGCUUACCACUUUGUGAUUCAUGACUGGGGUGAAGUCGUAACAAGGUAACCGUAGGGGAACCUGCGGUUGGAUCACCUCCUUA
rnacentral:rRNA from 1 species